rnacentral:lncRNA from 1 species
GCACAUGUGGCUUGGAUUCCGUGUUUCUGUGGCUGUGGUAUAGCCCGGCAGCUAUAGCUCCCAUUCAGCCCUUAGCCUGGGAAAUUCCAUAUGCCAUAGGUGUGGCCCUAAAAAGACAAAAAAAAAAAAAAGGAAAUUAAUGAGAUGGAAAGAAUCCAUAGGACCCACCUUCAAACUGGGGCUUGGCUACUUUAAUAGGCCUGGACAUCAUGCUCUUUAACAUUUGAUUCAAUUCUCUAAACUGUAAAAUGAGUCUAUACUACUAUAUACCUUCUCACUAAGAGACGUAUUAUAUGUAGAAAUACAGAAAAUAAUGCAGCCCUUCAAUGAAAGUUACUCUCUUAGCUCCUCUUCCCUGAGGGCUGGAUUCUCCCACUGAGACUGGACUACAAAGAUGGCAGCAUCCAUUCUGGGUGGGUCUGAUCCUUAGGCAACCUCUGUUCAGUGCCAACUGGAAAACUGUUUAUUUCCCUGAGGCUUUCUAUGAAGUCCUUUCACUGUUUUCCGCUUGAAGGGAUCCUGUUUUGUUCAACUACCAGGGAUUUCUGUAAAGAGUUUCUUUACUGAUGCUUCAGCACUGGGAUUCUUAUCUCUAUAUUUUCAUCUUAGUGCCUACUGUUAAGCCAUCUCUAAACCAACUCUCUGUUCUCUGAGACAGCAAACAAUCACCUACUGUCUUAAUAUCUCUUGAACUCUUUUCCACUCUGAAAUGUUAGAUAUGUACUCAAAUGAAUCUGCGGCUAAUAGUAUUCCUAUCAAACCUGUCCUUUUUUUCCUUUUGGACGCUGGCUUUAGUUCUAUCAUCAAUUUCAUAUCUUUGCAUUUCGUAGAAUAAACAAAUACAGUUAUAUUUUUCCGUGUUUAUAUUUGAAUCUUAAUCCCUCUAAGGUGAGGUAUUCUCUGACCUACUUUAUAUUCCCAUGGGGAAAUAAUAAUAUGAUAAAUACAUACAUUCAUUAAUUUAUCAUGUUUUCUGAACAAAGUGGUGCAUCAAACUGUGUAAAGUACUUUAGGAGGUGGUGAAGGACAAACACAUUUGAAAGUUAAGAUAAAAUACAUAGCUGAAAUAUGAGCUUCCACUAAUUGGUCAAAAAGUAACUUUGAGGGAGUUCCUGUCAGCAGUAAUGAACCCAACUAGGAUCCAUGAGGUUAAGGAUUCAAUCCCUGGCCUUGCUCAGUGGGUUAAGGAUUUGGUGUUUCUAUGAGCUGUGGUGUAGGUCGUAGAUGCAGCUCGCAUGUGGUGUUGCUGUGACAGUAGCAUAGGCCAGCAGCUAUAGCUCUGAUUUGACCCCUAGCCUGGGAGCUUCCAUAUGCUGCAGGUGCAGCCCUAAAAAGCAGAACAAAACAAAAGAGAACAAUGAUAACUUGGAAACAUUUAGAGUAGGGAGUUAGAGUUAUAACUGGUAACUGUAAAAGUCAAUAAAAAUAGUUUGAGAGUAGAGGGCAUAAAACUGGAUUUUGAAAAAUGAUUUUAUCUCAAAAAGCCAUGGCAAUAUAUAAGGGCAUCCAUAUGAGCAAAUAGUAUUUUCAGAGAUUUGGAGUAAAAUGAUCAUACCUUCCCUCCAAAAAAAUUCAAGUGGUAUGUGCAGAAGGAGGUCAUGUUAGAAGCAUGGAUAAUUCAGAAAGGCCUUGUGGUGCAACAGUAGCGAGUCUGACUCCAGAAGCAUGGAUAAUUAGAGGAUUAUGAACAGCAUACUAAAGAGAAUGUGCUUUGUGGUUAGUAUAAUAUCAUGGCAAGUUUUUCAAAUGAAUGAAGCUGAAAGUCUUUAUCACAGCCACUGGUGUAGAGUGUAAACUAGGCUGUCUAUGUUCAACUGUUAACUCCUUCAAGACUAGGCCAUAUUGCAUGCAUCUUUGUUUUUCCUGAAAUGUUAAAUAAUGGCUUAAUGAAUAGAAGAAAGAACAACAGUGGCCUAGGCUGGAAAGAAGGCAUCAUAGCUCAGCAACAUGGCUAUCUCAGAGGAGAAGCUAGGUGGUCCUGAAAAACUGUGCAGUUUUUAGGGAUCUGGGUAAACAAUGUUCAAAAUUGAACUUGGAAGGAGUCUAGGAUGUCUUCCUGGUAAUGGAGACCUAUCAAAGGGACUGAAGUAUGAAUCAGAAAUCACUAUCUUGAAGGGAUUCACGGGAAUUUGUUCAUCAAUAUUUUUAACAUAAACAGAAACUAUGUAAAUUAUUAGUCAAUAGUUCAGAAUGUAUUCUUUUUCAGUAAAUAUUAAGCAGUGCCAAUGGAGAUAUUGAAUUUACUGAAGAUGUCAAGGUAAACAUCUCAUAACUAUAUGUCUUCCUUACAAUUAAAAUGAGAACAAGAAAGACAUUGCAUAGAACUAUUCUGUCUAUGUACUUAAGGAAAAUUUUGAGAAACAAAAAUGAUUUGGCAGUGAUAAUGCCGUCUGUGUGCAUAAAAUAAUUCAAAUUCUAUCUAAAAUACUUCUGAAUUUUGUUGCCUUAUUCCUUCCCAAAUAUAGUUUUGCUGUUGCACACUCUAGAGCAAUAAACUCUAUGCUAAUUAUUUGCAAAGGCCCUUUUCCAAUCCCCAUGUUGAAAAAAAAAUAUGCAUUUACUUAUUUGGGACCAAAUAUGUUAUUUUAAUUAAUUCAGAACAUAACACUUGACUCUUGUCCAUUGAGAUUUAAUGUCUUUGGAUUGAAUUCACACUUGCUUUCUGUAUUAGAAAAACAUUUCCGAAGAGACUGUGGGAACAACUGUGAUUUU